GACGUAGGGCGCGAGCGUUGUCCGGAUUUAUUGGGCGUAAAGAGCUCGUAGGCGGCUUGUCGCGUCGUCCGUGAAAACCCACAGCUCAACUGUGGGCUUGCGGUCGAUACGGGCAGGCUAGAGUUCGGUAGGGGAGACUGGAAUUCCUGGUGUAGCGGUGAAAUGCGCAGAUAUCAGGAGGAACACCGGUGGCGAAGGCGGCUUGCUGGGCCUUACCUGACGCUGAGGAGCGAAAGCGUGGGGAGCGAACAGG
rnacentral:rRNA from 1 species